rnacentral:rRNA from 1 species
UACGUAGGGUGCGAGCGUUGUCCGGAAUUAUUGGGCGUAAAGAGCUUGUAGGCGGUUUGUCGCGUCUGCCGUGAAAUUUCGAGGCUCAACCUCGAACUUGCGGUGGGUACGGGCAGACUAGAGUGCGGUAGGGGAGAAUGGAAUUCCUGGUGUAGCGGUGGAAUGCGCAGAUAUCAGGAGGAACACCGAUGGCGAAGGCAGUUCUCUGGGCCGUUACUGACGCUGAGGAGCGAAAGCGUGGGGAGCGAACAGG